rnacentral:tmRNA from 1 species
GGGGAUGCAACGGCUUCGACGGGGGCAGUGAGGCAUCGUAAGCGGGUAGUGCGGCAACACUUUAAUCUACCAAAUUCUUAAAAAUAAACGCUAACAAUAGAGUAGCAUUAGCUGCCUAAGUGCAGCCGUCUUAACCUACUUUACCGCGCGUAGGAAUUAAGGCGAAUACCAAGCGGUCAACCUGAAUGAGCCAUGCUCCUAACUCAUCAGGCAUCAGGAGCUACUGAGCAUAAUACUUUGACUGUGGAGUAUGUGCGAGGGAAUUUUAUUCAUAGUCUACACCCGUAGAAAUCGGUGAGGAUUUGUUUUCGGACACGGGUUCAACUCCCGUCAUCUCCACCA